GGUUCACGUCAUCUACCUGGCAUUACCUCCAGGUAUUAUUCUCCCCCAGGAAAAGAACUUUACAACCUUCCGGCCUUCAUCGUUCACGCGGCGUCGCUCCGUCAGGGUUGCCCCCAUUGCGGAAGAUUCUUAG
rnacentral:rRNA from 1 species